AGACCCGAAACCCGGUGAUCUAGCCAUGGGCAGGUUGAAGGUUGGGUAACACUAACUGGAGGACCGAACCGACUAAUGUUGAAAAAUUAGCGGAUGACCUGUGGCUGGGGGUGAAAGGCCAAUCAAACCGGGAGAUAGCUGGUUCUCCCCGAAAGCUAUUUAGGUAGCGCCUCGUGAACUCAUCUCCGGGGGUAGAGCACUGUUUCGGCUAGGGGGCCAUCCCGGCUUACCAACCCGAUGCAAACUGCGAAUACCGGAGAAUGUUAUCACGGGAGACACACGGCGGGUGCUAACGUCCGUCGUGAAGAGGGAAACAACCCAGACCGCCAGCUAAGGUCCCAAAGUCAUGGUUAAGUGGGAAACGAUGUGGGAAGGCCCAGACAGCCAGGAUGUUGGCUUAGAAGCAGCCAUCAUUUAAAGAAAGCGUAAUAGCUCACUGGUCGAGUCGGCCUGCGCGGAAGAUGUAACGGGGCUAAACCAUGCACCGAAGCUGCGGCAGCGACACUUUAGUGUUGUUGGGUAGGGGAGCGUUCUGUAAGCCGUCGAAGGUGUCCUGUGAGGGGUGCUGGAGGUAUCAGAAGUGCGAAUGCUGACAUAAGUAACGAUAAAGCGGGUGAAAAGCCCGCUCGCCGGAAGACCAAGGGUUCCUGUCCAACGUUAAUCGGGGCAGGGUGAGUCGACCCCUAAGGCGAGGCCGAAAGGCGUAGUCGAUGGGAAACGGGUUAAUAUUCCCGUACUUGGUGUUACUGCGAAGGGGGGACGGAGAAGGCUAUGUUGGCCGGGCGACGGUAGUCCCGGUUUAAGCGUGUAGGCUGGUUUUCCAGGCAAAUCCGGAAAAUCAAGGCUGAGGCGUGAUGACGAGGCACCACGGUGCUGAAGCAACAAAUGCCCUGCUUCCAGGAAAAGCCUCUAAGCAUCAGGUAACAUCAAAUCGUACCCCAAACCGACACAGGUGGUCAGGUAGAGAAUACCAAGGCGCUUGAGAGAACUCGGGUGAAGGAACUAGGCAAAAUGGUGCCGUAACUUCGGGAGAAGGCACGCUGACACGUAGGUGAAGUGAUUUACUCAUGGAGCUGAAGUCAGUCGAAGAUACCAGCUGGCUGCAACUGUUUAUUAAAAACACAGCACUGUGCAAACACGAAAGUGGACGUAUACGGUGUGACGCCUGCCCGGUGCCGGAAGGUUAAUUGAUGGGGUCAGCGCAAGCGAAGCUCCUGAUCGAAGCCCCGGUAAACGGCGGCCGUAACUAUAACGGUCCUAAGGUAGCGAAAUUCCUUGUCGGGUAAGUUCCGACCUGCACGAAUGGCGUAAUGAUGGCCAGGCUGUCUCCACCCGAGACUCAGUGAAAUUGAACUCGCUGUGAAGAUGCAGUGUACCCGCGGCAAGACGGAAAGACCCCGUGAACCUUUACUAUAGCUUGACACUGAACAUUGAGCCUUGAUGUGUAGGAUAGGUGGGAGGCUUUGAAGCGUGGACGCCAGUCUGCGUGGAGCCGACCUUGAAAUACCACCCUUUAAUGUUUGAUGUUCUAACGUGGACCCGUGAUCCGGGUUGCGGACAGUGUCUGGUGGGUAGUUUGACUGGGGCGGUCUCCUCCUAAAGAGUAACGGAGGAGCACGAAGGUUGGCUAAUCCUGGUCGGACAUCAGGAGGUUAGUGCAAUGGCAUAAGCCAGCUUGACUGCGAGCGUGACGGCGCGAGCAGGUGCGAAAGCAGGUCAUAGUGAUCCGGUGGUUCUGAAUGGAAGGGCCAUCGCUCAACGGAUAAAAGGUACUCCGGGGAUAACAGGCUGAUACCGCCCAAGAGUUCAUAUCGACGGCGGUGUUUGGCACCUCGAUGUCGGCUCAUCACAUCCUGGGGCUGAAGUAGGUCCCAAGGGUAUGGCUGUUCGCCAUUUAAAGUGGUACGCGAGCUGGGUUUAGAACGUCGUGAGACAGUUCGGUCCCUAUCUGCCGUGGGCGCUGGAAGACUGAGGGGGGCUGCUCCUAGUACGAGAGGACCGGAGUGGACGCAUCACUGGUGUUCGGGUUGUCAUGCCAAUGGCACUGCCCGGUAGCUAAAUGCGGAAAAGAUAAGUGCUGAAAGCAUCUAAGCACGAAACUUGCCCCGAGAUGAGUCUUCCCUGAGACUUUGAGUCUCCUGAAGGAACGUUAAAGACGAUGACGUUGAUAGGCCGGGUGUGUAAGCGCAGCGAUGCGUUGAGCUAACCGGUACUAAUGAACCGUGAGGCUUAACCUUACAACGCCGAAGCUGUU
rnacentral:rRNA from 1 species